GACGAACGCUGGCGGCGUGCUUAACACAUGCAAGUCGAACGGAAAGGCCCUGCUUUUGUGGGGUGCUCGAGUGGCGAACGGGUGAGUAACACGUGAGUAACCUGCCCUUGACUUUGGGAUAACUUCAGGAAACUGGGGCUAAUACCGGAUAGGAGCUCCUGCUGCAUGGUGGGGGUUGGAAAGUUUCGGCGGUUGGGGAUGGACUCGCGGCUUAUCAGCUUGUUGGUGGGGUAGUGGCUUACCAAGGCUUUGACGGGUAGCCGGCCUGAGAGGGUGACCGGCCACAUUAGGACUAAGAUGCGGCCCAGACUCCUACGGGAGGCAGCAGUGGGGAAUAAUGCACAAUAGGCGGAAGCCUGAUGCAGCAACGCCGCGUGCGGGAUGACGGCCUUCGGGUUGUAAACCGCUUUCGCCUGUGACGAAGCGUGAAUGACGGUAAUGGGUAAAGAAGCACCGGCUAACUACGUG
rnacentral:rRNA from 1 species